GCGCGAAACCUCUGCAAUAGGCGAAAGCUUGACAGGGUUACUCUGAGUGAUUUCCGUUAAGGAGAUCUUUUGGCACCUCUAAAAAUGGUGCAGAAUAAGGGGUGGGCAAGUCUGGUGUCAGCCGCCGCGGUAAUACCAGCACCCCGAGUGGUCGGGACGUUUAUUGGGCCUAAAGCAUCCGUAGCCGGUUCUACAAGUCUUCCGUUAAAUCCACCUGCUUAACAGAUGGGCUGCGGAAGAUACUAUAGAGCUAGGAGGCGGGAGAGGCAAGCGGUACUCGAUGGGUAGGGGUAAAAUCCGUUGAUCCAUUGAAGACCACCAGUGGCGAAGGCGGCUUGCCAGAACGCGCUCGACGGUGAGGGAUGAAAGCUGGGGGAGCAAACCGG
rnacentral:rRNA from 1 species